GGGCUUUCCCACCGGUGAGACUCCUCCCAAGCAUCACUGGAAACAACGAACCCAUUGGAAGUUCACUCCCAGUGGCAUAUUUCAAAUGUGCUGGCCUUUAUGUCAGGGGUGCUGCUCGGUGUUUCCUCCAGCAGGAGUUGGAGGAGACCUCUUUCUUUUGGAUGUGACAGUUUGGGCUACGAGCCAAUAAUGUUCUAGUAAAUCAGAGGUUUACCCCUCGACCCACUGACUCUUUACACUGUUUUGUCCCAGCACUUUUGGCCUGUUCGUGCAAAAAGGUUGAAUGUUCAAUGCUGUCAGUUUGUUGGGUCAUUUGUCGGCAGGGUUACGUAAAAACUGUCUCAACCAAUAUCCACACAAAAGACUGGCAACUUGACGUUAUACUAGGGGACCAGGUGGAGAAAGUCUGCAGGUGAUCCGGAGCCUCUCAUUUGGACAUUUGCUUCUCACAUUUCCCCAGAAAAAGUGCAGAGAAUCUCCGAAGCAAAACAUUUGUGCUGAAUCAGCAGGACUCUGGCAGUUCCUUUUGUGCUGUACAUGCAUCCACUGCAAAGCCUGCCUCCUCGCUGCAGGCUGCACCGCUCACUUUCUCCUUCCUUUAAUAAUAAGGGCUGGAUUUGGGAAGCCCAUGGCUAAUGUUCAUGAACACACUAUGCAAUUCAAGUAGAUCCAGGGUUCAACUGUUGUCCCAGUGCAAGUGUAGAAACCAGAAUUUGUACUAGAUUUAGCACACUGUUGUCACUGUUUUGGCCAAAGAGAAUCAUGAUUGUUUGAUGUG